CCUUGAUUGGUUGUUAGCAGAUUUGGAGCACCUUGAUAUGAUAGGUUUUUGUAUUGGGUUGUAGCGGAUGGUCUUCUGGUUGACAAUUGCCUUAAUUGUCUGUUGGCUUUUGUGCAAUUAAAGUUUUUUUUUAUCAUAUAUAUCUCUGUGUGUGUGCGUGUGUAAUGAGAUCAUAUGAAAAAGGAUUGUGUUAUACAACAGAAAGAACAUUCCCUCUUAAAUGAAUCUAGCUAAAGUUAUAAAAAAAUAACAGAAUUCCAGUCUAUUAGCUAAAACUUUAGCUGAAUAACUUGCAUUCGUCUGCAAACAGGUCCACGUUUGGUUCACACUUCAAAAUUCUGGGAAUUUUGAUCCGAUAGUUCAUGAUCUACAAUUGUUUGAAUUUAGGAACUCAUGGUCUACAAUUGUUUGAGCUUAGGACAUUAGGGAUUUAUUAUAAUAUUUUAUUAUAAUAAGUUUCACAGGAUGAAAUUGUCAACAUAUGUGAGGACUUGGCGAAUCCUCCAUGUGGCUCACUUUAAUUAGCUAAAUGAUUUACUUCUUUCACAGCUAGAACACAAAAUGUAACUGAUAAUCUCCACCUUUUUGUACCGAUUGCAAUUUUCAUUUUGAAACAUAAGAUCACUUUUUAAUUGUAUAGGGAAGUCCAGCCAGUGUUCAGAUAUUUGCCUGCAGGAAAGAGAAUCAAAGUCAGCCUGUUGCUCGACGAAGCUUUUUUGAUGUUCUACAGCGCAAUUGAAUUAGGAUCAGUGUUCCACUGGGCUUCUUGUUGUGGUGCAGUCAGAUGUUGACAAGACAAAUCACACUUAUAAUGGGGAGUCCAAGCUGAACAACCUUACCACUGAUGGAACCCAUGAAGGGCUCGUAUCUCUUCGCAAGGAGGGACCCAUUCAUGAUGUCCAGUGGUCAUAUUCUGGUUCACAUUUUACUGUUGUUUAUGGAUGUAUCCUUCUCUCUCCGCAUCUGUGUAUUUAUUUAUGUCUAUGUAUGUACACUAUGUACAAUUUGUUGCAUGUAUUUGUUGGCAUGUAUUUUGCACAGAUGCAGUUUAACAGAAGUUCUGCAAAAGAUUUGUACUGUUGGAUGCAAGUCAUAGCUGUUGGGUAAGUUGAGCGCUUGAGGGCAUCUAGAGAGAAUAUCUCCGUCCAUGGGGCCUGGGAAAAUAUGGUUGGCUGGAAAUAGCAAAAGUGGUUGAUAUUGAUGUUAUACUAUCUAAAAUUGUUUUCGAAACCUUUUGAUUGGAAAAGUGCGAAAAACUUUAGGUGAGAA